UUCAUCGGUCACUUGUUUAGUUUAUUGGUAUUUGUCUUAACGAAGGCAUUUGUGAGUUGACUUCUCGCUUCAUUAUCUUACUUUACUGCUCUUUUCAAUUAGUUGCGAAAGUUAGAUUAUAUUGAUUUCAGGUCUAUAACUUUUGAUUUCAGGUCUGUAACUUGUUUCUUCGUUUUGUAGUUACGAAGGAGAACUGGUUUACCUAGUUGCCGGAGUGUUGUUUCUCUAUUACCCACGGCUUGUUUUAUAAGGUGGAUGGAAUACUUCUUGGUAAUUUUCAAUAGUUACGAAGGUCGGGAGUCUAUUUACUUCAAUAGUUACGAAGGUCGGGAGUCUAUUUACUUCAAUAGUUACGAAGGUCGGGAGUCUAUUUACUUCAAUAGUUACGAAGGUCGGGAGUCUAUUUACUUCAAUAGUUACGAAGGUCGGGAGUCUAUUUACUUCAAUAGUUACGAAGGUCGGGAGUCUAUUUACUUCAAUAGUUACGAAGGUCGGGAGUCUAUUUACUUCAAUAGUUACGAAGGUCGGGAGUCUAUUUACUUCAAUAGUUACGAAGGUCGGGAGUCUAUUUACUUCAAUAGUUACGAAGGUCGGGAGUCUAUUUACUUCAAUAGUUACGAAGGUCGGGAGUCUAUUUACUUCAAUAGUUACGAAGGUCGGGAGUCUAUUUACUUCAAUAGUUACGAAGGUCGGGAGUCUAUUUACUUCAAUAGUUACGAAGGUCGGGAGUCUAUUUACUUCAAUAGUUACGAAGGUCGGGAGUCUAUUUACUUCAAUAGUUACGAAGGUCGGGAGUCUAUUUACUUCAAUAGUUACGAAGGUCGGGAGUCUAUUUACUUCAAUAGUUACGAAGGUCGGGAGUCUAUUUACUUCAAUAGUUACGAAGGUCGGGAGUCUAUUUACUUCAAUAGUUACGAAGGUCUGGAGUCUAUUUACAAUUUUUGCUAGGUCCUUUCCAAUUGUAACUAAGAUGUUUUAGUUUGCGAAAUCGGUUAAUCAGUAAUUCGGUAAUCGCGGGAACUACUGUACUGACUGUAAGAAGUUUAAAAAUACUAUAAAAGUGAAACUAUACCAUAAAUAAAAGGUUAUAGUUCCUUACAUGCAUAACAUUAACUAGUUGGCUUACAGUAGUUAUUGUAUCCAGAUAAGUGCUUUUCUUCGGCAUUUUUAAUAAGAGUUGUUUGGAGUCUUUAUACACCAAGCUAUUUGGACGUACUUUCUGAUAGCUCAUUCGAAGAUUUUGUUCCACUUAGACCUGUAUUUUAGUAGAUUACGCGCACAUUAGUUUUAGGCCUUUGUUGUGAAAAUUUAAAGACUGCUC